rnacentral:lncRNA from 1 species
AUGACUUGAAGUUGUAUGUUUUAAGGCCCAUCCCUCAGCUUUUUACCAAAACACAGGUGGGGUGCCCGCUUAGUUAUUGUUUCAAUUAAGGAUUCCAGCUUUUCAAGGGGAAAUACAAUUAAACCAACCAUGGAAGAUUCCAGCUUUAAAGAGAAAAUACAUUGAAACCAACCAUGGAAGAUUCCAGAUUUAAAGAGGAGAUACAAUGAAACCAACCAUGGAAGAUUCCAGAUUUAAAGAGGAGAUACAAUUAAACCAACCAUGGAAGAUUCCAGAUUUAAAGGGGAGAUACAAUGAAACCAACCAUGGAAGUAUAUUGUAGUGAAUUCGGUGGGUAGCCCCAACCAAGAUUAGAACCCGGGUUUAGCAACUAUCAAGCCAACACCUUAACUGUUCCGCCAAGUUCAGUAUUUACGCUAUUGGUUAUGGUGAGCAGUGGAGAGAAUCUUCCUCUUAACGGACCAUAAACCUAAUCAAUCGAUCAGAUGACUCUAUCCCUGUUCCUCUGCAGCAGAGGUCCUCCCAGUCUAUUGAUCGAUCAAUCAAUCAACCGAUGGAUCAGAUGCCUCAAUCUCCGUUUCUCUGUAAAAGAGGUCCUCCCAGUCCAGAGCUGCUGCUCUGCCGCCAUCUGGUGGCGUGAAGUGGUGUUGCAACAAGAUAAGUACAGUAAUGCAGACCAGACAGAACCUAUUGGUCCCAAAUGACACCCUAUUCCUUACAUAGUGGAACUACAUGCCCUGGUCAAAGUAGUGUACUAUGUAGGGAAUUCAUUAGGGUUGGAACUAGGGUACUAUGUAGGGAAUUCAUUUGGGUUGGAACUAGGGUACUAUGUAGGGAAUUCAUUAGGGUUGGAACUAGGGCACUAUGUAGGGAAUUCAUUAGGGUUGGAACUAGGGUACUAUGUAAGGAAUUAAUUUGGGUUGGAACUAGGGUACUAUGUAGGGAAUUCAUUUGGGUUGGAACUAGGGUACUAUGUAGGGAAUUCAUUUGGGUUGGAACUAGGGUACUAUGUAGGGAAUUAAUUUGGGUUGGAACUAGGGUACUAUGUAGGGAAUUCAUUUGGGUUGGAACUAGUGCACUAUGUAGGGAAUUAAUUUGGGUUGGAACUAGGGUACUAUGUAGGGAAUUAAUUUGGGUUGGAACUAGUGCACUAUGUAGGGAAUUAAUUUGGGUUGGAACUAGGGCACUAUAUAGGGAAUUCAUUAGGGUUGGAACUAGUGCACUAUGUAGGGAAUUCAUUAGGGUUGGAACUAGGGUACUAUGUAGGGAAUUCAUUAGGGUUGGAACUAGGGCACUAUGUAGAGAAUUCAUUAGGGUUGGAACUAGGGCACUAUGUAGGGAAUUCAUUAGGGUUGGAACUAGUGCACUAUGUAGGGAAUUAAUUUGGGUUGGAACUAGGGCACUAUAUAGGGAAUUCAUUAGGGUUGGAACUAGGGCACUAUGUAGGGAAUUAAUUUGGGUUGGAACUAGGGUACUAUGUAGGGAAUUUAUUAGGGUGGUAUUUGGGUUGGAACUAGGGCACUAUGUAGGGAAUUCAUUAGGGUUGGAACUAGUGCACUAUGUAGGGAAUUCAUUAGGGUUGGAACUAGGGUACUAUGUAGGGAAUUCAUUUGGGUUGGAACGAGGGCACUAUUUAGGGAAUUCACUAGGGUUGGAACGAGGGCACUAUUUAGGGAAUUCACUAGGGUUGGAACUAGUGCACUAUGUAGGGAAUUCAUUUGGGUUGGAACUAGGGCACUAUGUAGGGAAUUAAUUUGGGUUGGAACUAGGGCACUAUGUAGGGAAUUCAUUAGGGUGGUAUUUGGGUUGGAACUAGGGCACUAUGUAGGGAAUUCAUUAUGGUGGUAUUUGCCUUGAUGACAGCUUUGCACACUCAAGUGCAGUCGUGAAAACCAUCAAGCACUAUGAUGAAACUGGCUCUCAUGAGGACCACCACAGGAAAAGAGCCAGAGUUACCUCUGCUGCACAGGAUACGUUUAUUAGAGUUAACUGCACCUCAGACUGCAGUGCAAAUAAAUGCUUCACAGAGUUCAAGUAACAGACACAUCUCAACAUCAACUGUUCAGAGGAGACUGUGUGAAUCAGGCCUUCAUGGUCGAAUUGCUGCAAAGAAACCACUACUAAAGGACACCAAUAAGAAGAAGAGACUUGCUUGGGCCAAGAAACAUGACCAAUGGACAUUAGAUCGGUGGAAAUCUGUCCUUAAGUCUGAUGAGUUCAAGUUUGAGAUUUUUGGUUCCAACCGCUGUGUCUUUGUGAGUUGCAGA